rnacentral:rRNA from 1 species
UACGUAGGGUGCAAGCGUUAAUCGGAAUUACUGGGCGUAAAGCGUGCGCAGGCGGUUUGGUAAGACAGAUGUGAAAUCCCCGGGCUUAACCUGGGAAUGGCAUUUGUGACUGCCCGGCUAGAAUGUGUCAGAGGGGGGUAGAAUUCCACGUGUAGCAGUGAAAUGCGUAGAUAUGUGGAGGAAUACCGAUGGCGAAGGCAGCCCCCUGGGAUAACAUUGACGCUCAUGCACGAAAGCGUGGGGAGCAAACGGG